UACAGGGGGUGCAAACGUUGCUCGGAAUUAUUGGGCGUAAAGCGCGCGUAGGCGGCCACUUAAGUCGGAUGUGAAAGCCCCUGGCUCAACUGGGGAAGUGCACCCGAAACUGAGCGGCUUGAAUGCAAAAGAGGGUCGCGGAAUUCCCGGUGUAGAGGUGAAAUUCGUAGAUAUCGGGAGGAACACCAGUGGCGAAGGCGGCGAUCUGGGAAGAUACUGACGCUGAGGUGCGAAAGCGUGGGGAGCAAACAGG
rnacentral:rRNA from 1 species